GCCACACUGAAAAAUUUUGCCGCCGAUAGGUUUCCCUUCUUUGACUUUUUUCAGCCAACCGAAACCCCCUAACGUGUUUUCUCACAUGAAUGAGUAUAAAACUGGCCGAAACCAACCAAAACUGGCCGAAAACGGCCAAGCUGAGGCAAACCGCCACCGCAAAUGGCAGUGUCGUCGCCGAACCACGAUGAUGCUGCCGUGCUGGAAUUCCAAAUUAGCCAGAAAAGGUUUUUAACACCGAUUUUGGAUUUUUUAGGAUAUUUUUAGAUACGUGAAGUGUGUUUUAAUCUUUAUA
rnacentral:lncRNA from 1 species